UCCCUGGUGGCUCAGUGGGUAAAGUAUCUGCCUCCAAUGCGGGAGACCCAGGUUCAAUCCCUGGGUGGGGAA
rnacentral:tRNA from 1 species